UACGUAGGGUGCAAGCGUUGUCCGGAAUUAUUGGGCGUAAAGAGCUCGUAGGCGGUUUGUCGCGUCUGCUGUGAAAACUCGGGGCUUAACUCCGGGCCUGCAGUGGGUACGGGCAGACUAGAGUGCGGUAGGGGAGACUGGAAUUCCUGGUGUAGCGGCGAAAUGCGCAGAUAUCAGGAGGAACACCGGUGGCGAAGGCGGGUCUCUGGGCCGUAACUGACGCUGAGGAGCGAAAGCGUGGGGAGCGAACAGG
rnacentral:rRNA from 1 species